GGUCAAAUAUGUGGAAGCGCUAAAGAAUAUGAAAUCAUCAAAAACUGUGGAGAGAAUAUCACUGAUACAUCUGCUGCAUUUUUAGAUUUUCACACGGAAAAUCUUCAAACAAACUGUUCUUGUCUAUUGACUUCUUCUCAAAAUGGACGCAUCCAUUUAAGGCUUCUUUCUAUCCCAAAUCCUCGAAAUUGUUUUACCAACAUUGAAAUACAAAAAUAUAUAACAUCACAGGAUUCCGAAGUUCGCCAUUCUUUAAACUGCGAUGACACAAAUACAAUUCUGCAAACGCAAGGGAAUGGUGAUGUUUUUUCUAUACGUCUGUUGAAUGUCUCAAAAAUUAAAACAUCAGAGAGGAAUCAAUUUUUCUACUGUCUCAAUAUUUCUAGUGAAGACAAACAAAAUACAUACGCAUUGUCUUGUCAGUCACUACUUGAUGAUCAAGAAGAAAACGAUUCACCUGCAGG